ACUCAAAGGAAUUGACGGGGGCCCGCACAAGCGGUGGAGCAUGUGGUUUAAUUCGACGCAACGCGAAGAACCUUACCCAGGCUUGACAUGCAGGUAGUAGGGACCUGAAAGGGCGACGACCCCGCAAGGGGAGCCUGCACAGGUGCUGCAUGGCUGUCGUCAGCUCGUGCCGUGAGGUGUUGGGUUAAGUCCCGCAACGAGCGCAACCCCCGCCCUCUGUUUGCUACCGGGUCAUGCCGGGCACUCUGAGGGGACUGCCAGCGAUGAGCUGGAGGAAGGUGGGGAUGACGUCAAGUCAUCAUGGCCUUUAUGCCUGGGGCUACACACGUGCUACAAUGGCCGGUACAGAUGGUUGCAAACCCGCAAGGGGGAGCUAAUCCCAAAAAGCCGGCCUCAGUUCAGAUCGGGGUCUGCAACUCGACCCCGUGAAGGCGGAAUCGCUAGUAAUCGCGUAUCAGCACGACGCGGUGAAUACGUUCCCGGGCCUUGCACACACCGCCCGU
rnacentral:rRNA from 1 species